UCUUCUGAAAUUUUCCUUCCGAUAGCUGGAGUGUGUAAUGAAGCUGUUAUAUUCAGUAAAGCGAAUGAUUAGAGGAAUUGUGGGACGAAACGUCUUCAAUCUAUUCACAAACUUGCGAUGAUAUGACGUCUUGCUUGCUUGAAUGAAGCCUGGACAUUGAAUAUGUGCUCCAAGUGAGCCAUUUUUUAUAAGCAGAACUGACGCUUUGAAAUGACCAAGCGUUGAGCUAAGUAUAAGUCUUUCACUCAAGCGCUAUCUAUCUGUUUAUCUUUCUAUUUAGUAUUUGAUUGUCCGAGUACUUUUUUUUUUUUUAUACCAAAUUCUAGAAUGGAAUAAGAAGGAAGA
rnacentral:ncRNA from 1 species